UACGGGGGGAGCAAGCGUUGUUCGGAUUUACUGGGCGUAAAGGGCGCGUAGGCGGUCAGCACAAGUCAGUUGUGAAAUCUCCGGGCUUAACUCGGAAAGGUCAACUGAUACUGUGCGACUAGAGUGCAGAAGGGGCAACUGGAAUUCUCGGUGUAGCGGUGAAAUGCGUAGAUAUCGAGAGGAACACCUGCGGCGAAGGCGGGUUGCUGGGCUGACACUGACGCUGAGGCGCGAAAGCUGGGGUAGCAAACGGG
rnacentral:rRNA from 1 species